GACGAACGCUGGCGGCGUGCUUAACACAUGCAAGUCGAACGGUAAGGCCCUUCGGGGUACACGAGUGGCGAACGGGUGAGUAACACGUGGGUGAUCUGCCCUGCACUUCGGGAUAAGCCUGGGAAACUGGGUCUAAUACCGGAUAGGACCCUGGGAUGCAUGUCCUGGGGUGGAAAGCUUUUGCGGUGCGGGAUGGGCCCGCGGCCUAUCAGCUUGUUGGUGGGGUGAUGGCCUACCAAGGCGACGACGGGUAGCCGGCCUGAGAGGGUGACCGGCCACACUGGGACUGAGAUACGGCCCAGACUCCUACGGGAGGCAGCAGUGGAGAAUAUUGCACAAUGGGCGCAAGCCUGAUGCAGCGACGCCGCGUGAGGGAUGACGGCCUUCGGGUUGUAAACCUCUUUCAGCACCGACGAAGCGCAAGUGACGGUAGGUGCAGAAGAAGGACCGGCCAACUACGUGCCAGCCGCCGCAGUAA
rnacentral:rRNA from 1 species